UCAUAAGUUAAGAUCUUGAUGUUGAACAAUUGAAGAUUUUUGACAUGCAGCAAACCUCGUUGGUGAUGCAUUAUCAUGAACAGCAACAUGGACUAAAGAAGACAAUAUGAAGUCCUGCUUCUCGGUGUGUGUAGUGUUUGCCUCAACCUGAUCAACUUUGUAACCUUCGCAACAAAAUAAUUUCCAAAAAGUCUCAUCAACUCUGUAACAUUGAUUUUA
rnacentral:lncRNA from 1 species